rnacentral:rRNA from 1 species
CCUACGGGUGGCAGCAGUGGGGAAUAUUGGGCAAUGGGCGCAAGCCUGACCCAGCAACGCCGCGUGAAGGAAGAAGGCUUUCGGGUUGUAAACUUCUUUUCUCAGGGACGAAGCAAGUGACGGUACCUGAGGAAUAAGCCACGGCUACCUACGUGCAAGCAGCCGCGGUAAUACGUAGGUGGCAAGCGUUAUCCGGAUUUACUGGGUGUAAAGGGCGUGUAGGGGGGAAAGCAAGUCAGAGGUGAAAACCAUGGGCUCAACCCGUGGCCUGCAUUUGACACUGUUUUUCUUGAGUACUGGAGAGGCAGACGGAAUUCCUAGUGUAGCGGUGAAAUGCGUAGAGAUUAGGAGGAACACCAGUGGCGAAGGCGGUCUGCUAGACAGCAACUGACGCUGAGGCGCGAAAGCGUGGGGAGCAAACAGGAUUAGAUACCCGGGUAGUC